UAUUAAAUGCGAAUUUUGUAAAUCCAACCGUUAAAUUGAACAUAUAAAGUGAUAUGAACUUUCAAUCUAACGGUUAAAUUUACAAAAUUCACAUUUAAUAUAAAGUU
rnacentral:miRNA from 1 species